rnacentral:rRNA from 1 species
GGGGGAUAUUGCACAAUGGGGGAAACCCUGAUGCAGCGACGCCGCGUGAGUGAAGAAGUAUUUCGGUAUGUAAAGCUCUAUCAGCAGGGAAGAAAAUGACGGUACCUGAGUAAGAAGCCCCGGCUAACUAC